UUCCUCGGUGGUGGGUGGAGUGAGUGGAAAGGAGAGCUCAGCUGAGAAGAUGUACCAGGAGACGUUAAUCCAUGCCCUAGGAGAAUACGCCAACCACCUGCCUGACUAUCAGAAGAUCGACUCCAUGGUCUUCAUCCUGAAUAAGGUGCCGGGCAGUGACCGAGUGGACGAUGGAGGUUCUCAGCGACCCGAGGCAGAGGUCAAACUUCAGCAUCUGCUCCUCAAGUCACUUCUCAAGGUGGGAACCAAGUAA